AACGAACGCUGGCGGCAUGCCUAACACAUGCAAGUCGAACGAGACCUUCGGGUCUAGUGGCGCACGGGUGCGUAACGCGUGGGAACCUGCCCUUAGGUUCGGAAUAACUCCCCGAAAGGGGUGCUAAUACCGGAUAAUGUCUUCGGACCAAAGAUUUAUCGCCUUUGGAUGGGCCCGCGUUGGAUUAGCUAGUUGGUAGGGUAAAAGCCUACCAAGGCGACGAUCCAUAGCUGGUCUGAGAGGAUGAUCAGCCACACUGGGACUGAGACACGGCCCAGAAUCCUACGAGAGGCAGCAGUGGGGAAUAGUGGACAAGGGGCGAAAGCCUGAUCCAGCAAUGCCGCGUGAGUGAUGAAGGCCUUAGGGUUGUAAAGCUCUUUUACCCGGGAUGAUAAUGACAGUACAGGGAGAAUAAGCUCCGGAUAACUCCGUG
rnacentral:rRNA from 1 species